CAGUAGCCGCGGUAAUACAGAGGGUGCGAGCGUUAAUCGGAUUUACUGGGCGUAAAGCGUGCGUAGGCAGCUUCUUAAGUCGGAUGUGAAAUCCCUGAGCUUAACUUAGAAAUUGCAUUCGAUACUGGGAAGCUAGAGUAUGGGAGAGGAUGGUAGAAUUCCAGGUGUAGCGGUGAAAUGCGUAGAGAUCUGGAGGAAUACCGAUGGCGAAGGCAGCCAUCUGGCCUAAUACUGACGCUGAGGUACGAAAGCAUGGGGAGCAAACAGGAUUAGAUACCCCCGUAGUCCCUGUCUCUUAUAC
rnacentral:rRNA from 1 species